rnacentral:lncRNA from 1 species
UUUUAUAGUAAGUAAUAUAAUUAAGGGACAAAAAUACUCCUAAUACCCAUACAUAAGGGACUAUCCAGGUUUAUUCCUCUCGGUGGCUUGAUUUUUCUGGUCACCCAAUAUUUUCCGGCAACACCUUCAAGUUGGAAGGAAAACACCGCAGAUUUUUAACACUCACAUCUAAAUCACACCGCAGCUUCAAAAUCCGUCAGUCUGUCACCGCACGUCUCAAUCUCUUUCUGCGGCGAAUUCCUCUGCUGAUAUCUUUUCCGGCGAAAUCGAGUUGUAAGUUUCUCUACUUGUCUCCUGAAUUAAUUUCUCGAGGAAAAAAAACACUUUUCUUACUGAUCCCGCUCAGGCAAAAAGUAUUUACCCCUUUUUUUAAACAAUUGUUACAGUAGAAUUCGGAAUGUGAAGUAGGCCACAAUGUUUUGUACAAAGGCGAUAAAUUUGUUACGGUCUUUAUGGAGUUACAGCACAGGUUGUUGACCAAAGUAAUUUUAUGGAAUGAUCGUGGAACUGGAACCUCAAGGUGACCUGACCAGUUGAAACAAUUUUUGUACUUCCAUUUUGCAACGGUUAAAUGUGAGUGAUUCCAAAGCUAAACAUGCUUAUUGUUGAUGAUUUUUUCGUACUUUGUUUGGCACAAUUACUAUUUCAG